rnacentral:rRNA from 1 species
AGUGAACCUACCUUGUAGAGGCGCAUAACCCCGCGAAAGUGGGGGUAAAACGCCAUAAGCCAAGAAAUCUGGAAUGAUUCUUGACUGAAACAAACCGCGAAUUGGAGCGAGUUUGCUGCAAGAUGGCACUGCGGCUGAUCAGGCUGUUGGUGAGGUAACGGCCCACCAAACCGAUAAUCAGUAGGGGCUAUGGGAGUAGGAGCCCCGAGACGGGCACUGAGACAAGGGCCCGAGCCCUACGGGGUGCAGCAGGCGCGAAACUUCCGCAAUGCGCGAAAGCGUGACGGGGGUAAUCCGAGUGCCAUCCGAAAGGGUGGCUUUUAGCCGGCUUGAAUAGCCGGUUGAAUAAGUUCUGGGUAAAUCCUGUGCCAGCCGCCGCGGUAACACAGGUAGAACUAGUAGUACCCACGAAUAUUGAGCUUAAAGCGUCCGUASCCGGCUUGGCAAGUUUCCUGUGAAAUCCACCCGCCUAACGGGUGGGCGUGCAGGGAAUACUACCGAGCUCGAGAGUGGGGGAGGUCAAGGGUACGCUAGGGGGAGGAGUAAAAUCCUGUAAUCCUUAGCGGACCAUCGGUGGCGAAAGCGCUUGACCAAAACACGUCUGACGGUGAGGGACGAAGGCCGGGGGAGCGAAUCGGAUUAGAUACCCGAGUAGUCCCGUGCAGUAAAUGAUGCAGACUUGGCGUUGCAGCGACUUCGGGUUGCUGCAGUGCCGUAGGGAAACCGUUUAGUCUGCCGCUUGGGGAGUACGGUCGCAAGACUUAAACUUAA